CCUACGGGGGGCAGCAGUGGGGAAUAUUGGACAAUGGGGGCAACCCUGAUCCAGCCAUGCCGCGUGUGUGAAGAAGGCCCGCGGGUUGUAAAGCACUUUUAGUGAGGAAGAACGCCUGGUGGUUAAUACCCAUCAGGAAAGACAUCACUCACAGAAGAAGCACCGGCUAACUCCGUGCCAGCAGCCGCGGUAAUACGGAGGGUGCGAGCGUUAAUCGGAAUUACUGGGCGUAAAGCGCGCGUAGGUGGCUUGAUAAGCCGGUUGUGAAAGCCCCGGGCUCAACCUGGGAACGGCAUCCGGAACUGUCAAGCUAGAGUGCAGGAGAGGAAGGUAGAAUUCCCGGUGUAGCGGUGAAAUGCGUAGAGAUCGGGAGGAAUACCAGUGGCGAAGGCGGCCUUCUGGACUGACACUGACACUGAGGUGCGAAAGCGUGGGUAGCAAACAGGAUUAGAUACCCGUGUAGUC
rnacentral:rRNA from 1 species